GGGUCAGUAGGUUGGUCGUGCCACCGGUACGUACUGGUCUCACUGAAUCCUCCUUCCUGAAGACCCGUAAUGCCAUUAAUUUGGUGUUGCGGGGAAACAGGACUGUUACUUUGAAAAAAUUAGAGUGUUUAAAGCAAGCUAACGCUUGAAUACAUUAGCAUGGAAUAAUGAAAUAGGACGAUCGAUCCUAUUUUGUUGGUUUCUAGGAUUGACGUAAUGAUUAAUAGGAAUAUUUGGG
rnacentral:rRNA from 1 species